CACCGCGGUUAUACGAGAGGCCCAAAUUGACAGGCUUCGGCGUAAAAGUGGUCAAGGUCAGAACUACUAUAGCCGAACAUCCCCCUAGCUGUUAUAAGCUCUCGGAAGAGUGAAGCCCACACACGAAAGUAGCUCUAGCCCCUCCCGAACCCACGACAGCUGGGAAA
rnacentral:rRNA from 1 species